AGACCAGUCCUGGUGAGUGUCCAGGGUGGCAAGGAUUGCAGUCUCAGCGGUGGCCUCAGCUCUCACAGGCAAGGAGCCCCCGGCACCCACAGGCCCUGAGGCUCCAGUGCCCAAAGGCAGAGAGGGCGACUGAGUCCAGCCCAGGCUGAGCCCCACCCAGCUGUACUCCCCAGACACCCACCCAACCCGAGGUGUCCCACCGAGGAGGCCCUGAUCUUGAGCCCGGAGCCCUGAGCCCUGAGCCGAUGCUUGAGGAUCUUAUGACCAUGAUCUGGCUACCUUGAGUCUGUGGGGCUACACAGCCUUCAGCCUGCAUCUCCAGGACUCUGACUCUAUCCAGCUCCUGGACCAGCUCCCAAGUCUACUCCUGACCCCAGCCUGGACCAAGGGGACUCCUCAAGCUUUGGGACCCAGCAGGACACAGCAGCAGUCAGGUGCAUGCUGGGACCGCAACGGACAGGCUGCCGCACCCCAGGCCCCCAGAGGCCAGUCUAUUUGCCU
rnacentral:sRNA from 1 species